GGGGGCUCUGUGUGCCACAUCAAGGCGUCUGUUACACUUCUCUGGGUCCCCCACCGCUAGUGGCUGGGCGGGAACACAAAGGUGGGUCCACUGACUCCAAACCUAAGGUUAGCCUUGUUUUUUUGUAGGUCUAUAACAUGCUCCCUCAUCUCAGAGUGCAUGAGCAAGACCAAGGGCUCCAGCUGGAGGUUGUUGAUUGGAAAGAAAGGUAACCUACUCAAACUUGAUCUGAUCUGAAGGAGGGGGUGUUGUUAAAUAAGAGAGAAGACGUCAUUCAUUCAAAAAUAUGUACCGUGUGAUUACCAUUCCCCAAGCUCUGCCCUAAGUGCUGGAGAAACAGGACAAAACCCCUGCCCUGGAGGGCUUCCUUUCUAUGGAAGAGGACAACGAGGGAGCCCUGGUCUCUCCAGGGCACCGAGCCGACUGGCCUUCUUGAGAAGCAAAAUACUCUCUCAUCAUUUCAUAAAGAGCCUACGGGAAAAUAACAGUUAAUUUCUCACCUGAUUACCUGCCUUAUAUAAGUAACUGAGUAAGGAAGGGCUGGUAACAGUUGUUACCUCUGGGGGGAGUAAGACAAGUGGAAUGGGGAAGGAAGGGGGAACUUUAAUUUCCUUGCGUUUCCUUCCUGCUUCCUGUGCCCCGCCCCCACCCUCUCUUUCCACCACUUCCUUUUUUGCCGGGUGUGCCCAGGGGACAGCUACUGUGUGCAGGACUGCGUCUGAGACAGCCCCAGCUCUCGGCUCAGCCCUGGCUUCAGGUCUGGAACAGCAGUGGGAAUUUCCCUGCCCUGUCUCCUCUGUUCCGUCCACUCCAGGGACCCCUCUUGCUGUCCACGAGAAGGGGGGAAGCAGGGAAGAAAUCCCAUCGUGCACUGUGACAUCGACCACUCUAUGCUGUGCAGAGAGUCCCAUUGAAGAAUAUUCAGGACCUGGAGGGACCACUAGAGUUUCUGCUACUGGAGGGCAGGGGCUCUGCCUUACAGGUGCGGAUGUUCGAGCCCGGAGAGGCCCUUAG
rnacentral:lncRNA from 1 species